rnacentral:rRNA from 1 species
CCAGACUCCUACGGGAGGCAGCAGUGGGGAAUAUUGGGCAAUGGGCGCAAGCCUGACCCAGCAACGCCGCGUGAAGGAAGAAGGCUUUCGGGUUGUAAACUUCUUUUAGGAGGGACGAAACAAAUGACGGUACCUCUUGAAUAAGCCACGGCUAACUACGUGCCAGCAGCCGCGGUAAUACGUAGGUGGCAAGCGUUAUCCGGAUUUACUGGGUGUAAAGGGCGUGUAGGCGGGAGAGCAAGUCAGACGUGAAAUUCCAGGGCUCAACCCUGGAACUGCGUUUGAAACUGUUCUUCUUGAGUGAAGUAGAGGCAGGCGGAAUUCCUAGUGUAGCGGUGAAAUGCGUAGAUAUUAGGAGGAACACCAGUGGCGAAGGCGGCCUGCUGGGCUUUUACUGACGCUGAGGCUCGAAAGUGUGGGAAGCAAACAGGAUUAGAUACCCCGGUAU